rnacentral:rRNA from 1 species
UACGUAGGGUGCGAGCGUUAAUCGGAAUUACUGGGCGUAAAGUGUGCGCAGGCGGCCGAGCAAGUCGAGUGUGAAAGCCCCGAGCUUAACUUGGGAACUGCGCUCGAAACUACUUGGCUAGAGUGUGGCAGAGGGAGGUGGAAUUCCACGUGUAGCGGUGAAAUGCGUAGAGAUCGGGAGGAACACCGGCGGCGAAGGCGGCUGCCUGGACCAGUCCUGACGCUGAGGCGCGAAAGCUAGGGGAGCAAACAGG